rnacentral:rRNA from 1 species
UACAGAGGUCCCAAGCGUUGUUCGGAUCCACUGGGCGUAAAGGGUGCGCAGGUGGCGCUUCAAGUUUGAUGUGAAAGCUUCGGGCUUAACCCGGAAAUGGCAUUGAAUACUGGAGUGCUGGAGGUUUGGAGGGGGGACUGGAGUUCUCGGUGUAGCAGUGAAAUGCGUAGAUAUCGAGAGGAACACCAGUGGCGAAGGCGAGUCCCUGGACAACACCUGACACUGAGGCACGAAAGCCGGGGGAGCAAACAGG